CCGCCAUAUUUUUGUUAUGCAACUUCAAUUAACAUUCUCUGAAAUUUCUUAAUGAUUCUAGAUUAAUUUUUUUUAUAAAAUCCAAGUAAAAAUUUUGUUCUUACUUUCGAUGUACAUUGGAUCAUGAUUAAUUCUUGAGAAAAUUGCAUAUUGCCAUGCCAAUUCUGGACUACCUUGACAAUUUAGUUAGACAAUUCGAGAUUGAUCACUCUUUUAAGAACAUUAACUCAAUGCACC
rnacentral:lncRNA from 1 species